ACGAACGCUGGCGGCGUGCCUAAUACAUGCAAGUAGAACGCUGAAGAGAGGAGCUUGCUCUUCUUGGAUGAGUUGCGAACGGGUGAGUAACGCGUAGGUAACCUGCCUUGUAGCGGGGGAUAACUAUUGGAAACGAUAGCUAAUACCGCAUAACAAUAGGUGACACAUGUCAUUUAUUUGAAAGGGGCAAUUGCUCCACUACAAGAUGGACCUGCGUUGUAUUAGCUAGUAGGUGAGGUAACGGCUCACCUAGGCGACGAUACAUAGCCGACCUGAGAGGGUGAUCGGCCACACUGGGACUGAGACACGGCCCAGACUCCUACGAGAGGCAGCAGUAGGGAAUCUUCGGCAAUGGGGGCAACCCUGAACGAGCAACGCCGCGUGAGUGAAGAAGGUUUUCGGAUCGUAAAGCUCUGUUGUAAGUCAAGAACGAGUGUGAGAGUGGAAAGUUCACACUGUGACGGUAGCUUACCAGAAAGGGACGGCUAACUACGUG
rnacentral:rRNA from 1 species